rnacentral:rRNA from 1 species
UACGGAGGAUGCGGGCGUUAUCCGGAUUUAUUGGGUUUAAAGGGUGCGUAAGCGGGCUUUUAAGUCAGCGGUAAAAAUUCGGGGCUCAACCCCGUCCGGCCGUUGAAACUGGGGGCCUUGAGUGGGCGAGAAGAAGGCGGAAUGCGUGGUGUAGCGGUGAAAUGCAUAGAUAUCACGCAGAACCCCAAUUGCGAAGGCAGCCUUCCGGCGCCCUACUGACGCUGAGGCACGAAAGUGCGGGGAUCGAACAGG